UCAGCUGAAAAGGUUGGGUGCAUUGUC
rnacentral:piRNA from 1 species